rnacentral:lncRNA from 1 species
AGGUGCUGGCUGGAGCACAGCUUCAAGGAAAAAAGCUGGACCUGAGAGGUAAAAAGGCCUCACUGGUGGCAGGCAGAAGACUUGGAAAGCAGAAUUCCAAUCAAGGUGAGCACCUGGUGGACUCCUUCCUGUCCAAGGAAACCACAACUCACCUGCCCUUUCACUGAGGGUCAGCUGCUGUUAACUGCCUCAUUGUGUUGCUUCCUCAUUUGCAGGUUUCUCACCUGGGCAAUCCCCUAGCCCAAAGAAAAUCUGUUGUUUAGAGAUGAGCUGUAGAGUCAAGACUCUCUUUGUGCAGCUACUUUGAAAUACACAGGCAUCUUCUUCACUUCUGUGGGUUCUGUGAGCUCCAGCUAGACGGUACAGGCAGGACUCACUCCAGAGAUGCUGUGGCUUCUGCUGCAGGUGUUCAACAGCAGGAAGAUAAGAGGAGGUUUGAGAAGUGCUACUCACAGAUUGCACCAAACAAGCUAAGGCUGGUGUAAUUACAGAGGAUCAUCCUCACCAAUUGGAUAAUUUUUGUGCACUGAGUGGUGGAAGUGUGCAAGUUGGUUGCAUGCAUGGUGCUCACAUCUCAUCUGUGCAUGAGCUGUGGGCAGUGAGAAUUGUUCCCUCCUAGUAAAGGCUGAACUGGUGCUGUUUUUGGGAGUCGAGGGGCACUAUGUUCUGUGUGUCUUCCAUUCCAGACACUAUAAUACAAUGGUGGAUUUAGUGAAUCUGACCCUUGAAAGCCUGGGGGCAAUUGCAUGUCCAGAGACUUUUGUUUGGCCAGAAGGUGCUUGGGAUUAAAAUUGUUCUAGGAUUUGGAAUGUGAUCCUUCUCUGCAAUCUGAAAUAUAGAAGCACAAGUGAAAGAAGACCUGUUCAACCCAUGCCAUGUUUUCUUUUUUACUGCCAAGAACUAGAUGUGCUGCUGAAUCUUAGGUUUACCAUCCCACUCUAUGGUUUGAAGGUCUGGAUGGAAACACAGCCACAGUCUUCCAAUGAAGCAAGCUGAUUUUUCUCCCUGAUGGGCUGAAGAAGCACAGGUUGUCCUGGUCAAUGAGGUCAGAACUGUUAAAUAUUAACUUUC